rnacentral:rRNA from 1 species
UUCCCCUAGUAGCGGCGAGCGAACCGGGAGAAGCCCAGCUUGAAAAUCGCGUCGCUUCGGCGGCGCGAGUUGUAGUCUGGAGAAGCGUCCUCUGCGGCGGACCCGGUCUAAGUCCCCUGGAAAGGGGCGUCAGAGAGGGUGAGAGCCCCGUCGGGCCGGGACCCUGCCGCUCCACGAGGCGCUGUCUACGAGUCGGGCUGUUUGGGAAUGCAGCCCUAAGCGGGAGGUAAAUUCCUUCCAAGGCUAAAUACGCGCGGGAGACCGAUAGCGAACAAGUACCGCGAGGGAAAGAUGAAAAGGACUUUGAAAAGAGAGUCAAAAAGUGCUUGAAAUUGCUGGGAGGGAAGCGAAUGGAGGCCUCAUCUGUGCGCUGCGGUCGGAUGCGGAACGGCGCUUUCGGGGGCUGGUCCGCCGCUCGACGCGUGGCGCUGGUCGGCGUGGGCUUUCCCGGGCGGGACAAACGCCGGUCGCUUUUUUAGUGGCCGGUCCUGGUCCGCCGUCUGGGAGGCCGAGGAACCGAAGCGCGCGCCCUUCGUGGCGGGCGGCCCCUCUCGGGGGGUCGCACCUGCGUGCUCGGGACGCCGGCGUAGCGGGCUUUUCAUCCGACCCGUCUUGAAACACGGACCAAGGAGUCUAACAUGCAUGCGAGUCGGUGGGCGGCAAACCCACGAGGCGCAAAUAACUUGACUGGUGUGAUCCUCUCUCCGGGGGGGUGCAACAUCGACCGACCCCGAUCUUCUGUGAAGGGUUCGAGUAGGAGCAUGCCUGUUGGGACCCGAAAGAUGGUGAACUAUGCCUGAGCAGGGCGAAGCCAGAGGAAACUCUGGUGGAGGCUCGCAGCGAUACUGACGUGCAAAUCGUUCGUCAGACUCGGGUAUAGGGGCGAAAGACUAAUCGAACCAUCUAGUAGCUGGUUCCCUCCGAAGUUUCCCUCAGGAUAGCCGGAGCACGAAGGAGUUUCAUCGGGUAAAGCGAAUGAUUGGAGGCAUCGGGGGUGAAACACUCUCGACCUACUCUCAAACUUUAAAUAGGUGAGGUCCGAAUCGGGGUUGCUUGACUGAACCCCCGGCGCGGAUUAGA